rnacentral:piRNA from 1 species
CCAUGCCAGGCAACAGAGGGUCACAGAACC